rnacentral:rRNA from 1 species
UACGUAGGGUGCGAGCGUUAAUCGGAAUUACUGGGCGUAAAGCGUGCGCAGGCGGUUUCUUAAGCCAGAUGUGAAAGCCCCGGGCUUAACCUGGGAAUUGCGUUUGGAACUGGGAGACUAGAGUGUGGCAGAGGGAGGUAGAAUUCCACGUGUAGCAGUGAAAUGCGUAGAGAUGUGGAGGAAUACCGAUGGCGAAAGCGCUCGGCUGGGGCGGCACUGACACUGAGGGACGAAAGCUAGGGGAGCGAAAGGG